UUCAAUUUAUAUCCCUAUAAGUUCAUAGUAUGCUGUUUCGUGCGACAAUGAAUGCCAUAUUUUUGCUUAUUCUGGGACUCGUUCCGUAUAGCUACUGUUUAAAGUGUUAUGCAUGUCUAAAUAUAGUCAGAAGUGACUGCGCUAACGCCUUAACUUUCACCAUGGAUGUUGUAAAAUGCAAUGCAAAUGACAGAAAUUCUACGUUUCUGGAAAAUAACGAUGUUGGCGUAUUCCGACCCGUUUGUAUAAGCGCGAUUGAACCACAAUCUGAUCCACAGAUAGUUAUCCGCGGAUGUGCGGUUUUCCCAGACAACGUGGAUCCAUGCGAAUAUUUACAGAAAACUGCGAUUUUCGAAAAGUGUCAUUGGUGCACUGAAGAUAAGUGCAAUAACAAUGAACUAGUCCAAGGAGGAAACAAAAUAAUUUGAUUUAUUUUUAAAAUGCCUAAACCGUACAUUUGAUAUUGUACAAUGCUUAGGUCAAUCACACAUUGAUAACUUAAUCUUGUUUUGUACGAAUAAAACAGCUCAUUAAAUGAUUAGACUUGUUUCAGACACAAUAUGAGAGCCUUACUUGUUCUAGUCGCCAUAGGUGUCUUUAAUUCAGCUAACAGCUUGCAAUGUAAUGUAUGCACUGGUAGCACUCUCAGCUACUGUGGGGAUGGAGAAUCUUCAAGAAUGGGUGUUAUAAAUUGCAAUGAGACACGGUCCGUUAAUUUUCAUGGAGAUGGUUACAUCGGAAAACCACGCGCGGUUUGCGUUACCGCGACUUACCCAGCGAAUUUUCCUAAAAUUGUUUUUCGUGGAUGCGGUACGUUUUCGGAUCAGACUGACCCAUGUAAAUAUUUGGAAGAUACCAAACUGUUCGAGCAUUGCACCUGGUGCACAACUGAUAAGUGCAAUGAUAAACCACAACCGGUCGACAAGAUAUGAUAGCUAAUAUGAAUAAAUAAAGUAAAUUAAGCCUA